rnacentral:rRNA from 1 species
AGUGAACGCUGGCGGUAGGCCUAACACAUGCAAGUCGAACGGCAGCACAGUAAUAGCUUGCUCUUACGGGUGGCGAGUGGCGGACGGGUGAGGAAUACAUCGGAAUCUACUUUUUCGUGGGGGAUGACGUAGGGAAACUUACGCUAAUACCGCAUACGACCUACGGGUGAAAGCAGGGGAUCUUCGGACCUUGCGCGAUUGAAUGAGCCGAUGUCGGAUUAGCUAGUUGGCGGGGUAAAGGCCCACCAAGGCGACGAUCCGUAGCUGGUCUGAGAGGAUGAUCAGCCACACUGGAACUGAGACACGGUCCAGACUCCUACGGGAGGCAGCAGUGGGGAAUAUUGGACAAUGGGCGCAAGCCUGAUCCAGCAAUACCGCGUGGGUGAAGAAGGCCUUCGGGUUGUAAAGCCCUUUUGUUGGGAAAGAAAAGCAGCAGGUUAAUACCCCGCUGUUCUGACGGUACCCAAAGAAUAAGCACCGGCUAACUUCGUG